rnacentral:rRNA from 1 species
UACGAAGGGGGCUAGCGUUGUUCGGAAUUACUGGGCGUAAAGGGCGCGUAGGCGGAUCUUUAAGUCAGGGGUGAAAUCCUGGAGCUCAACUCCAGAACUGCCUUUGAUACUGAGGAUCUCGAGUCCGGAAGAGGUGAGUGGAACUCCGAGUGUAGAGGUGAAAUUCGUAGAUAUUCGGAAGAACACCAGUGGCGAAGGCGGCUCACUGGUCCGGUACUGACGCUGAGGUGCGAAAGCGUGGGGAGCAAACAGG